GCCGCCAACGCCGUCCGCCCCCGGCCUGCGCUGCUCCAGGACAGCGGGUAAGUGACGGCCGACCUGCCCAGCUCUACCCGCACGGUCGCGGUGGGGACGGCGCCCUGGCCCAAGCCGGCCUCCCGUUCCCUUCCGAGUUCGCGGGACCCUCCCUGCGAGCAGGUGUCGGCCCUGCCGGCUGAGAGAGGCGCGGGCUCCCCGAUUUUGAUUUUGAGCGUUGCCUCCUCCGGUCGAGGUGUGCGGGGCGGGGCGCGGGUGCGGGCGCGGCGGGGGAGGAGGUGAUGCGGGGCUCCUUCGCUGGGGAGGGGGCUGGGCUUGAUCGCUGGGGAAGGGGCUGGGCCCUGUUGAUCCUGUGGUUUGCCUGGAAUGACCCCCGGGAGAGGGUGAGGCAGAGGCCAAAGCUGGGUUUCAGAAAAAGUGCUGGCCCCUCGCAGCAGCAGCGGGGUUGGGUGGGCACUGGAAAUUCCUGGCAGCCGGCAUGGACACUGGGAGUGGGGAGCGGCAGGCAGGGUCUUUUCGGGGCUGUGGGAUGAGGGAAGCGGCCUGGGUAAAAUCCACAGGGACCGAGCUGCGGGCCGGUGACAGGAGGAGGCACAGGCUGCCGCUGAGCUGUGGUGGCGGCAGACUCUCCCAGAGGCACGGGGGUCGCCGAGGGUGGGCGCACUGCACAACCACGUGUCUGCUGGAAGGGAGGAGCGGCUGCUCCCCAGACGCGGGGUCGCGCAGGAAAAUGGGCGCGGACGUUCAGAGCGACAAGGAGGCUCCCGCGUGGUGUCCAUCACCGGGGAAACCGAGGUGCGGGGAGGGAGGUGCCCAGCGCAGGUGCAAGCUCUGUCCCCACUGCAGAGCUGGGGUGAGGGGCGGGGUGAGAGGGUGGGAGGAUUCCCCCCCCCUCCCUGGGCAGUGGGCUGUGCUUGGGGAGGGGCCAGAACGGACCCUGUGAGGCCCAGGUAGGCUGGGGCUCCUGGCCAGGAGGAUGGGGGUGAGGGGAGGCCAGUGCAGCUGGGUCUUCCUGUUUCUGAAAGCCAUGGCAGACUUGACAGUGACUGGAGGCUGUUUUGAAGAAAGAGGGAAUUCCAUGCUCUUGAAGUAGAGGUGAGGCUCCAAGGUCUCCUGUGAGCCCAGAGUGGAGCGCCCUGGGCAGCAGUCAGGCCACUGCCUUCUCCUGCUGGCUCCCCGGGGCCUGGAGAGGGCCUGGUGUGGACAGCGGGUCUUGCUCAGGCCCCAACACCCCUCAGGGGUGGGGAGGGGUGGGGUGACCUGAUGCAGCCGCCUCCUCCCCAGGCAGGGCCCUGGGCUGUAGCAGGUGUGUGGGGAGGGCAGUGGCCCACUGAGAAACACAGCUCAGACACAGGAAGCUCCCCAGCCAGGAAAUCCACCUCAUGGUUGAGGGCGACUGCAGAUCGCAAGCCGGGGUUUUCCGCUUGGCUCCUUUCCCUGAUGGCUGGGAAACCUUGGAAAGUGUCCUGUCUGCUUUGAGAACUUUGCCCAGUAGAGCUCAGACGGACUCGUGUCAAAUGCUCUUUCCUUCUGGGAAAUCGAGUUUGAGAGCGACUUGAGCAUCUCCCCCACGUCUUAAAGGACUGUGUGUGUCAUCUUAGGCUGUGGGGUCCAGGCCAGGGGUGGACGUCCAGGGGUGAAUGCUCUGGGUUCCCAGGAGGGAGCCGUGCUGUGCAUUUCAGAGGUGCGGGCCCUGUCUCAGAGCAUGGGGGUGUACCACAUUCUGCUCCCUAAGGAUUUUUAUCCUGACUGACAAGGAAGAGACUUGAAGAAAAUAUUUAUUUUUUUAAAUUUAUUUAUUUAUAACACAGAAUUACACAAAGAGGAGGAGAGAGAGAGAAAGAGAGAGAGAAAGAGAGAGAUAUCUUGCAUCCACUAGCUCACUCCCCAAAUGGCCAAAUCGGGGGAAUCUGGGCCAGUCUGAGGACAGGAGCCAGGAGAUGCUUCCAGGUCUCACACGUGGGUGCAGGGGCUGAAACUUGGGCCUUCCUUCCCUACUUUCCUAGGCACAUUAGCAGGGAGCUGGACUGGAAGGAGAGCAGCCAGGACUUGAACUGACGCCCAUAUGGGAUGCCAGUGCUGUGGAUGGAGACUUAACACACUGUGCCAAAGCGCCAGCCCUGGAGUAAACGUUAACUUAAAGGAACAGAUACUCUUUGUUCCUGGGGAAGGUGAAUUAGCAUUUUUCACUACAAAGACCUGGAGAGUCUGAGAUAAGAAAUGCAGAAUGGGUGAGCAUUGCCUCAUGGGUCGAGGGCAAGUGAGGCUCCCAUGUCCCACACUGGGGCACCUGGGCUCAGUUCCCAGCUCCAUUCGUGAUUCCAGCUUCCUGCUAAUGCAGACCCUGGGAGAGGAUAGUGAUGGAUGAAAUAAUCGAGUUCCUGUCACUCACCUGGGAGACCUCAUUGAGUUUCUGGCUCCUGGCUGCAGCCCCAGCCACGGCAUUGAGGGCGUUUAGGGGUGAACAGGUGGAUGGGAUCUCUCUCUCUCUCUCUCUCUCUCUCGUUCUCUAUCCCCCUCUGUCUCUCUUUCUCUGCUUCUCAAAUAAAAACCUUUUAAACACUACAUAUAGAGCAGAUGGUGAGGAGUGACAGCAGCCGGCACAGUGGAUGCGAGGCACCUGCCUCUCUACUGCUCCCUUGAACUUCACUGCAGGCCCAUGGAGCAGCGGUCACCUCCUUUUACAGAUGAGGACGCUGAGGCUCAGGGACAUGAGUGAGUGACCCUGAGACUGUGCAGGCAGCUGUGGCCUAGACGUCAGCCUGCCUCCCCAAUUCUCUGCCCCUUUCCUGCCCAUGUUAGGGAGCAAUCCCCAACCUAAGUGAAAUCUGUGGUCAUUUUUGUCCCUCACUUUGCUGUCUACAGAUGUGGAUUACGUCCCCUGGGUAGACUUGAACCUGCCCUGGCUCCUGCAUAAUGCCUGGUUCUUCCUGUUGUCAUGGAAAAGGAGCUGACUCCAGAUGCAGGGUCUCAGGACAGAGAUGGGGAGUGUGGCAGGAAGAUGGUUCCUUACAGGUGCUGCAGGGCCCCUGCUGUUUAAAGGAGCAUUUUAAAGGAAGCAGACCUGUGUUGUGGAGUUCUCCUGCGCCCACACCUGGCCCUUUCUUCCUCAGCCCCAGCGUUCCUCCCAUCAUGGAUGUCCCCCUGGUCCUCACGGGGUCCCUACCUAGUUCCCCCUGUUGGUGACUGAGUCUCCACCACCUCCCCUCCCCCAGGCAGUAUCUGGGUAUGGCCUGGGUCCACGUGCUGCUGCUUUAUUUUUUGAAGUAGUUUUUUUAAAUUUUUUUUUGACAGGCAGUGUUAGACAGCGAGAGAGAGAAAGACAGAGAGAAAGGUCUUCCUUCCAUUGGUUCACCCCCCAAAUGGCCACUACCUCCGGCGCGCUGCACCAAUCUGAAGCCAGGAGCCAGAUGCUUCUCCUGGUCUCCCAUGGGGUGCAGGGCCCAAAGACUUGGGCCAUCCUCCACUGUACUCCCGGGCCAAUGCAGAGGGCUGGACUGGAAGAGGAGCAACUGGGACAGAAUCUGGCACCCCAACUGGGACUAGAACUGGGGUGCCAGCGCCAUAGGCAGAGGAUUAGCCAAGUGAGAUGCGGCGCCAGCCUUUGAUUUUUUUUUUUUUUUAAAGAGCAGUUUCAGGUUCUUCCAAAAUUGGGCUGAGUGUCAUAGGCUUAUACCCCCGCCCCAGCACAGGUAAGGCCUUCGCCAGGAUCACCAUCAGCACCACAGUGGUGCAGUUGUUACAGUCCAUGCACCUGCUUUGAUACCUCCCAGCCACACCACAUUCAGCUCUGCCUUGGGCAUGAGUCCUGGUGCUGUCUGUUCUGUGGGUGCUGACAAAUAGGCAAUGACAGUGCCCUCAUGACUGUGUCAUCCAGAAUUGUGUCAAUACUGCUUCACUCACUGCUGUGGGAGGAGCUUGAUAAACUGCAGAUGUCACAAAGCUUCCGUUAGAAAUUAAUUUAAUUCCUGCACUUUCUGGCCAGGGUGUGACUGGUGGCCACGGAACAGAAUUUCUGCUCUUACAUAGAUAUCCGGGCUCCGAAAGAGUCUAAAACAGAAUAUUUCUAUAAUUUACAGUGGAACGGUCUUUCUGAGUACGGUACCAAACCUAGGAGGCCUCGGGAAAGGAUGGAUCAAAUUCACUAGAAAUAAAAUUGGCGUAGCAAAACCACUGCUCACGAAAGACAGCUUUCCAACCAGAAAGAACAUUUGUACUUUGUGUUAAAGAUUAACAAUUUCCCUAAUACGAAAACUCUAAGUCAAUAGGAAAAGAGCAAGAACUUUGAGGAUAGAUGGGCCGAGGGUAAGGAGCAAACAGUUCCUGGAAGAGAAGUGGGUGGCUCCUAAGCCCCUGAGCGGUGUGUGCUGUGGUGCCUAAGUGGGUCAGUGCAGUCACCUGUCUGGGCUGGUGCUGGGUGCUGGCAGGGAGGCCGGGGGAGGGGGAGCAGCUCGGGGAGUGGGUGUCCGUUCCCCGCAGGGGGCACCUUGCCAGGGUCUGAGGAGUUCAUGACCCCCAGGGUCUCUCCCUCCCAGAUUCCCACGUGCAGAGUGCGCCCUUCAGUGCCACCCACAGCUCUGCGCUGGGCACCGUGUGGAAGAGCACAGCAGUGCCCACCAGGGGGCCACUGAAGGGAAUCCUGGGUGCACCUGCACCUGCACCGCGGGUGCUCUGCGCAGAAUGUGAGGAGGAGCGGUCUGUGUGGCUGAGUGGGGCGAGGGCCGUCUCAAGGCCUCGGCACAGGGCCGCUGCGGGCUCACAGGAGCUCCCGUGUGACGUGGUCAGGUCUGGGCCGUCCUCAGGGCCGUGCAGGUAUUUGCUGUGGAUGUGUUGCCUGAGUGGGUGAGUGAGGCGGGAGGGGGCAGCAGGGCCUCUGGGGACAGCAAGCCCGGUGCUGGGGAGAGGCAGAAGAGGGAUCUGUAUGGAGGGGUGGGAGCACUCGAGGGGGAAGCAGGCCGUCAGGCUGGGUGGGAGUGUGGGGCCGUGAUGGUGGUCUUGGGAGCUAGGCUGGAGAGGGUCCAGCCAGCGUGCUGGGAGCCCUAGCAGGGCGGGGAUGGCAGUGCGUGUGGUGAGGACACUCGUCAGGGGUGCGUGAGGGGGAGCCGGGCCUCACUUCUGAGCCUCCACUCCAGAGUCCUCUCCUCGCUCCCCCCCCCCCACUGUGCAGCCUGACCUGCACGUGGACGGUCACUCCCCAGCCCCCGCUGUGUCCCCUGCCCACAGUGGGUGGAUUCGGGGGCCACCACCUAACUAGUGGUGAGUCCUGGAUCGCCAGGCUCAGUUCCUGUAGAGAGGGAGCCCCCAGGGAUCCAGAUCUGCCUCUCAGGUGUGGGUGCUCACGGCUGCUGCCUCCGGAGUCUCUCGCUGUUGACUGUGGGCCAGUGGCAUCAGUGGCCUCAUCGUGGAGACCCAGGAGUUAGCAGGAUCUGCCAGUUCAUGGAGAGAUGAUUUGAGGAACAGACCUGGGUUUUCAUCCUUUGUGUGCCUGCUGUGUCUCUUAGGGCAGGACAGAUGUUGACCUUAAAGUGCAAGGUGCAGGCGGGCGCCGCAGCUCACUAGGCUAAUCCUCCGCCUUGCUGCACCGGCACACCGGGUUCUAGUCCCAGUAAGGCGCCGGAUUCUGUCCUGGUUGCCCCUCUUCCAGGCCAGCUCUCUGCUGUGGCCACAGAGUGCAGUGGAGGAUGGCCCUGCACCCCAUGGGAGACCAGGAUAAGUACCUGGCUCCUGUCAUCGGAUGAGCGAGGUGCGCCGGCCGCAGCGGCCAUUGGAGGGUGAACCAACGGCAAAAAAGGAAGACCUUUCUCUCUGUCUCUCUCUCUCUCUCACUGUCCAUUCUGCCUGUCAAAAUAUAAAAAAAUAAAUAAAUAAAUAAAAAUAAAAGUGCAAGGCGCAGCCGCUGCCUGCAGUGCUGGCAUCCCAUGUGGGCUCUGGUUUGAGUCCUGGCUGCCCCAUUUCCAAUUCAGCUCUCUGCUAUGGCCUGGAAAGCAGUGGAAGUUGGACCAAGUGCUUGGGCUCCUGCACCUGAGUGGGAGACCCAAAGAAGCUCCUGGCUCCUGGCUUCAGAUUGGUCAUUUGUGGUCUGAACCAUUGGAUGGAAAACCUGUUUAUCUCUCUUUCUCUCUAUCUCUUCCCUUCUCUUUGCCUCCCUCCCUCUCUGUAACUGCCUUUCAAAUAAAUCUUUAAAAAAAAAAAAAUGCUGAUUGCACCUGACAGGUGUUUGGAACGUCUGGCUCACAGGCGCGAAAUCGAUCGGUCUGGUCCUGCCAAGGCAACCACAGAUGGGACUCAAAAAAUAAACCUAUAGCAGCCUAAUUUUUAGUUUGAUAAUUUUGCGUGGUCUGCAAACGAUGUUAUAAAUGCCCAAAUAGCCCUUGGCAGAAGAAAGCUUCUGCUCCCCUGACCUAGAGCCAUAGACGUGGGGUGAGCUGGCCGAGGAGGCAGGGCUGGGCGUGCAGAAGGGGCACGGGGGCGAGUGCCGGGUGCUGGUGUGUGAGGGAUGCCCGGCUGUCUCCCUGGAGGUCUCCCCGAAGGACUGAUAGGAACACUGCUGCCCGGAUCCUGGUCCUCUAUCAUUUUUACAUUUCCCUAUGCUGUGCUGAGAACAGUGAAUGUGAGAUCUGCCGUCUCAGGCUUCUCAGCGUCUCUGGAACUUCUUCAUCCCACAGGCACCUGCUCGUGCAGGGUCACGUAAGGAAGUCUUUGCUGCCCAAGGCCACUGCCUCCCUGCCCCUGGCAGAGUUUGCUCCACUGGGCUCUUUGCCAUUGUUCUGCCAGCAGGGGAGGCUGCAUUGCCGCUGGGGCUCUGAAAGGGUUACUCAGGGAGAUCCGAACUGUGUAUAGUGCACAGGUGCACAAAGGGUUAAGUCAUUCAGGCAUGGGAUGAAUCCUCAUUUGUUCCAAGGAUAUCUUUAUAACAUUUUUGGGAAAAAAAAAUCACAAAAUAUUUGACAGUAUUCCUGAACUGUAAGUUAGCUAAUAUAAUACAAAAAGCAAGUGAGUUUCUACCUCUUUGAUGUGAAAACCUUGUAUAAAUGGAGCAUGUAUAUAAAUAGAAUUGAAGCUGCCUAAUUUGAGGUUUGGAUAUUUGUAUUUGAUUCGUAUUUAAAAUAUAUCUGUUGUGAUUUUGUGCUUAAUAUUAUCCCUAGAAUAAAAGAUAAAUGGGAUCCCAGUUCAUCUGUGCAGAUGACACUUUUGCAUUCCUGGUCCAAUUUAAGAAGUAAAUCAGGGGCUGUCGUCAAGGCACUGAGUAAACCACUAUAUUGGGAUGCCUGCAUUCCAUAUCAGAGCACCAGUUAAAGGCCUGGCUACUCUGCUUCUGACCCAGCUCCCCGAUAAUAACGUUGAGAGGCAGCAAAUGGUGGCCCAAGUCCUUGGGUCUCUGACACCCAAGAUCUGCAUGGAGUUUCUGCCUCUUGGUUCUAUCUGGUCCUGCCCUGGCUGUUGUGGGCAUUUGGGAAGUGUACCAGUCGAUGUUGGAAAGGUAGAGUUACAGAGAGAGAUCUUCCAUCCUCUGGUUUACUCCCCAAAUGGCCACAACAGCCAGGGCUAUGCGAGGCCUCAGCCAUUAGCCAACAGCUUCAUCUGGGUCUCCCGCAUGGGUACAGGUGCCCAAUCACUUGGACCAUCUUCCUCUGCUUUCGUAGGCACAUUAGCAGGAAGCUGGGUCAGAAGUGGAGCAGCCAGCACUUGAAUCAGUGCCCAUAUGGGAUGCUGGCAUCACAGGUAGCGGCCUUACCCACUACACCACAGUGCCAGCCCUGGGAAGUGUACCUUUAGUAGUAGAUUUCUUUCUCUGUCUCUUUCUCUGCCUUUCAAAUAUAUGACAAUAGAUUUUUAUUUUAUUGUAUUGGAGGAUUGCAGUUUUUAUUAAGAAAACAAGAAGGCAACCGAAACAACAAAGGAGCACUUCCGUUCCAGUGGCACCCAAGUGCUCUCGGCAUCCUGAGCUGCAGGAAGGGGCUGGGGACGGCCUCCAUUGCCGUCCUACAGGCAGACAGGCACCACGUGUGUGCCCCUGGCAUCCGGGCCCAGCUGCCACCUGUCCUUUGUCAGCGUGUACAGAUCGUCAGGACCUGGCCUUCCUCAGAUGCGGCAGAGACCACACGCCCAAACAGUGGAGCCAAACAAGAAUACAGCUGGACCGACCUGCCGCUGACCAGAGACACAGGCCACUGUCACAGGGCAGUGCUCACCCUGCAGCUGGGGGGAGGGGAGGCUGUGGGGGAAGGGACCCCAGGAAAGGGCAGCAAGCACCAGGGAGCUCUUUUGAGGCUGCUGUUGUCACCUGGCUGGCCUGGGCAGGCGGAAGGAAGCAGCCGCCAUGUGGGAACCUGCUCCUAGGUCCUAGGGCCCAACUGCUGUCAGCUCAGCAUCCUCUCCUCCCUGUGCGGUUCCUUAGGGACUGAGCUCUGCUGAAGAGGGCGCAGCAGCAGCCCCCACUCUGGGGCUGAAGGUGCCUGGGGCCCACCUCCCUCCACCUUCCCAUCUGCCCAGGCUGUGGGGCCUGUCCCUUUGAAGACAGGAGGGCCAGCUGGUGGCCUCUGGAGAGCCCCAGUUGGAAGGUGGGCAGGGAGCAAGCAGUGUGGGCAGAGGCACCAGCAGGGCUCCCUCACUGCCUUCCUGCCAGGACCCAAGAACUGUCCUGUCCAGUUGUUGCAGUGACAUAGGUGUGGCGGGACACCCUCCGUCCUGGCUUGGUGUCCCCUAACUGCCUCCAUCUGGUCCGGAUGACCUGAGAGUGGUGGGCUGUGGGGGCAGGGCGGGGCAGAGCAUAGGACGCCCCGUUCCCCUCAUGCGUGGGCAAUGGCACCAACCACCACGAGGUUAAGCAGCAAGCCCAAGCCCUUCAGGAUCCACCUGGUGGAGAGGGAGGGGAAGGCGUGAGGUCAGCACCUGUGCUGAGCUGUUGGGACCCAGCCUGGGGACCCCCAGGGAUGGAGAGGGGACUAGGGAGGGCCCGGGAAGGGCAUGGUGAUAGCUGAAGUCCUCUGCUCAGGGCCAGAUGGCCAGCGUUCUGACACGUGGGCACCUCCAGGAUGUGGGAGCAGCAAGCGUCACGUGUUCCUGCUUCUGCCAGGCACGCAGGCUUCCGAGCGCUGUGCUCUCAGUGAUUCUGAUGCCACGCGCUGUGCACAGCGUUUUCUGCCCAUCGUAGGACAAAAAAGAAACUGGAGAUCAAAUAGGUUGCUGAGUAAACCAGCACCCUGUGCGUGGUGAAGGGGGUGGGGCAAGCCCCUUUGACAAGUGAGCAAACAGAGGCUCAGAGCGGGUGCUGCUUGCCCAACGUCACCUGCCCAGUGAGUGGAAGAGAGGGAGCUGUAACCCAAGAUGGUCGGAACUAAAGCCAGGCUCUUAGCACCAGACCUGCGCACAGCAGCACUUGACUUGGUUCCCACCUCUCCUUAAUGAGCACCGCAAACUGCUAGGAGCUCCAGGGGACUUCAUGAUAAAGGAGCCCUAGCUGGGCAGAGGCCCAGGGAAGCACGUGCCUCUGGGAGACCCCUGGAAGGAGCAUGGCGGGUGCGGGGGGACAGGCGCCAGGCAGCCCUGGGACGGUCAAGAGCUCCAGGCCUUCCUCAGAGGGAAAGGGUUUGGGCUUUAAUCUGGAGCUGGGAGGAGCCACCGAGGUUCUCAGCAAACAGAUUUUGUUUUUUCAAGAUUUUGUUCAUUUGAAAGGCAAAGAGAGAGAGAGAGAAGGAGAGAGUAAGAUCUUUCAUCUGCUGGUUCACUCUCCAAAUGGCCGCAAUGGCCAAGGAGCAACCGGGCCAAAGUAAGGAGCCUGAAACCCCAUCUGGGUCUCCCAUGCAGGUACAAGCGUUCAAGCACUUGGGCCAUCUUCCGCUGCUUUCCCAGGCACAUCAUCAGGGAGCUGCACCAGAAGUGGAGCAUUCAGGACUCAGAACUGGCACCCAGAUGGGAUGCCAACGUGGCAGGUGGUAGCCUAACCCACCACGCCACAACCUUGGCUCCUGGAUUUGUUUUUAAAAGUUUUACUGGGGGGGGGGGCAGCGCUGUUGCCUGAAGCACUGGCAUACCAUAUGAGCACCAGUUCGAGACCUGGCCGCUCCUCUUCCGAUCCAGCUCUGUGCUGUGGCCUGGGAAAGCAGUAGAAGAUGGCUCAAGUCCUUAGGCCCCUGCACCCACAUGGGAGUCCUGGAAGAAACUCCUGGCUCCUGGCUUCGAAUCGGCACAGCUCCGGCCGUUGCUGCCAUCUGGGGAGUGAAUCAGCAGGUAGAAGACCUCUCUCUCUCUCUCUUUGCCUCUUCUCCAUCUCUGUAACUCUGACUUUCAAAUAAAUAAAUUUAAAAAAAAGUUUUACUGGGGGGAGGGGUUUGUGGCACAUGCAGUCAAGCACCACGUGGAAUGCCCACAGUCCAACAUUGGGGUGCUUGAGUUUGAGUCUGGGUGCUUUCAGCUUCCCACCUAUGUGCACCUGGGGACAGCAGGUGAUAGCUCAGGUACUUGGGUCCUUGCCACUGGGUGGGAGAUCUGUCUCUUUCUGCUUUUCAAGUAAAAUGGAAAUUGAUGAAAAAAUUUUUAAAAGCGUUGCUUUGGCCGCUGCGUGGAGGUUGACCCGAGGGCAAGUGACUCCCAGGCAUGGAGACUGCGCCCCCUAGGGGACGCUGCGUGAUGUCUGCAUCGCUGGUUGGCACAGCUGAGGGUGCUCCUGACUAGGGGCAGAUGGAGGCCAGGGACGCUGCUCCACACCCUAUAGUGCCCAGGGCUGUCUGGCCCCAGAGAAUGAUCCAGCUCCAGUGUCCAAGGGCUCAGUGGAGAGACCCAGGUUCAGGGGAGCAGGAGCAGAAAACAGUAAGAAGCUGGAGAGACAGGGCCACCCAGGAGGCAAAGUCGCAGGUCCUGACUCCGCCACGCCGCGGUGCCUUGGGCUUACAUUGGUUGCAUACCCCAUGCUUCAGUUUCCCUGGCUAGAAGAUGGGCACAGUAGUCUCCUCCUCCAGCAUCAUCAAAAAGAUUACAGGAGGCGGUCCUUGUCAAGUCCAGAAAGCUGAGCCUCUGCACCUGCACCCCCAUAGCUGCUGCUGCCAUUGUUUGCAUAUUAAUGUGUGAGGAGAGGCAGUCCGGGCAGGGUCUCCCUUCCUAGCCUUCCUGGAACUUCACCUGGGUCAUCUUAUCCAGGUACUUGGUCUGACAUUUCUUUUUAAUCUUACUUAUUUAAGAGGCAGCAUUACAGACGGGGAGAGGGAGAGGGAGAGGGAGAAAGAGAGAGAGAGAGAGAGAGAGAGAGAGAGAGGUCUUCCGUCUGCUGGUUCACUCCCCAAAUGGCUACAAUGGCUGAAGCUGGGCAGAUCCAAUACCAUGAGUCAGGAGAUUCUUCCGGGGCUCCCACAUGGGUGCUUGGGCCAUCUUCUACUGCUUUCCCAGGCCAUAUCAGAGAGCUGGAUCAGAAGUGGGGCAACUGGGACAUGAACCAGCGCCCAUAUGGGAUGCUGGCACUGCGGGCAGAGGCUUAACCUAAUGUGCCACACUUCCGGCCCCUGACUUUUUCUUUUUUUUUAAGAAUGGUUUUUUUUGAAUUUUCUUUUUCCUUUUUUUUUCUUUUUUCCCCAGAAACCUUUUAUUUAAGGUAUCCAAACUUCAUGCAUUUCGUAAGUACAAAUCUGGGAACAGUGGUUCUUCCCACACUGCCUGCACUCCCACUUUCCAUUUUGUUUUAAUGGAAGCAGGUUGGCUUAGAAUCUGGUAGUUUCAGACCUGGGCACCGCCUGAGCUGUGGGGAAUCGCAGGGUCAGGCCUGGGCGCGUCCGUGGUGUGGUCGCCUGUCCUUUCACCCUAGUUUCUGGUUUUUUUUUUUUUUUUUUUUUUUUUUGAUGCAUUUUACUUAUUGGAAAGGCAGAGUUAGGGAGAGAUAGAGAGACGAGAGGGAGAGAAAGAGAUCUUCCAUCCACUGAUUCACUCCCUACAUGGCCACAAUGGCUGGGGCUGGAUCAGCUCCCAGCCAGGAGCUUCUUCCAGGUCUCACAAGUGAGUGCAGAGCCCAGGCACAUGGGCUGUCCUCCGCUGCUUUCCCAGGCAUAUUUGCAGGGAUCUGGGUUAGAAGUGGAGCACCCAGGACUCGAACCAACGCCUAGAUGGGAUGCUGGCACCAUAAGCAGCGGCCUUACCGGCUAUGCCAUAAUACAGGCCCCUAUUUCCCGUUUUUGAGCAACUUCCCAACUCUGCCAGCGGCGUUACUGCUCACACCCCCAUCCACGGAGUGCAGGGUCCCCUUUCCUCCACACAUCCUCACCAGCGCGGGUUAUCUUUUGUCCUCAGUAAUGGCCUGCGAGCUGCAGUGACAGCCCAUCACGGUUUUGAUUUGCAUGUCUCUGUGAUUAGUGAUGAGCAUUUUUCUCCUGUACUCAUUGGCCAUUUGUAUGUCUUCCUUUGAGAAGUGGUUUCUUUAUGUUCACUGCCCUUUUUUAAUCUGAAUUAUUUGUUUUUUGCUUUUUGUUUUAGUUGUGCUGAGUUCAUUUUAUAUUUGCUUGAUUAACCCCUUUGUCAGCUGUGUAGCUUGCAAAUAUUCUUGAUUUUUCCUUUGCUGUGCAGAAACCCUGUAAUUUGGUGAACUCCUGUUGAUCUGUCUUUGGCUUUGUCUCCUGUGCUCCUGGGGUCUCAUCUAAGACAUCCUUGCCCACUCCAGUGCCUGAAGCAGUCGCCCCUGCUUACUUCCAGUCAUUCCGAGGGUCCAGGGCUUACACUUAGGCCUUUCUUCCGUUUUGAUUUCCUUUUUAACCCGAUAUUAAUCAUCCGCAGCAGCAAGUAGCGUAGUGCGUGCUCGACAUGACCGGGCUGUCUCCCAGGUGCCUUCAUUGAUUAGUUUGUUUGUUCCUGCCAGCAGCGAUGCAGAGUUAGCUUCUGUGGUUAAUCGCUGUCUCAUAGUGAGGAUACCGAGGUACAGAGGGGUUGAGCAGUUAGAAGUCGCGUCCCCAAGCAGGUUUUGACCCCUGUGUCGUGACUCAAAGACUGUGACUAAGUCCAGGCCUCGUAUUGCCUGCCCUCCAUUGCAAAGAUGCUGCAUGUCUCCCCCUGCCAGCUGGGUGUGGAAUCCCCCUUCCAGUCUCCAAGAAAACCGUGGCCUCCGCUUCCUCCACGGUGCCCACACACAUGAAGGAGCAGAGAGUCACCAUGGGUUGCUCUGAGCACUUUCUGUUCCCAGCUUUCUUGGCAUGUGAUUUGCAGAUCUGUGUCCGUUUGUGUCCAUGUCGGUGACUCUGAUACAGAUCCAGGGCUGUGCAGCCAUCAGCACGGUGGAGCUGCAGAACAAUCCCGGAGCACCUGCAGGAUCUCCUGCCUCUUGCACUGUUCCCUGUCACACCCCAACCUGGGGACACAUCACAGAGACUGGUCACAGAGGUCCCCACACGUGUUAGUGGCGUCUCGCUUUCAGAGGCCCUUGCCUCUGACUACCCGGAGCCCCGCAUCUUCAGGGCUUUCCUGUUGGGUAGUGUCACCCAGCGUGCCCUUCUGCGGAAUGGAGAGUGCCCGUUGUGUGGAGAGACUGGACAUUGAGUUGUGCAGCAGCUGACGGCCGUCUGAUGACUUCUGCUUGCCGGUUGUGAGUGAUGCGGUUAUGAACAUUCCUAGGCUCUUCUUUAUGGAGACAGACAUUUCCAGUUGUCUCAGGUGUGCAUCUGUGCCUGGGAGCGGAGUUGCUGAGUCCUACAGCAACUCCAUAUUUCACCACUAGGACAACUGCUUGAUGGUUACAGCGGCUGCUCCAUUUCCCACUCCCACCAUGGGGAGGGGUAGGUGAGCGUCUCCGUUUGUCCACAUCCUGGACAACACUUGUUCUUCCCCCAUUGUUUUAACUCCUGCCACUCAAGUAGGCUGGAGGUGGGGUCACUCUCUGGCUUCCAUUUGCUUUUCCCUGGGGCCAGAUGAUGUAGAGAGUGUUUGGUUGUGUUCAUCUUCUUGGGAGAGAUGGUCGUUCAGAUCCCUUACUCACUGACUGGUUGAGCUGUUCAUUUUCCUCUUACAUAUUCUGGACAAACGUCCUUUAUCAGAUACAUGAUUUCGAAGUAUUUUGUCCUAUUCUGUGCCUUCUCUUUUUGCUUUGAUAAUGUGUUUCUUGAAUCACAACUGUUUUAGAUUUGGAAAAGUUACCAUUUGUAUAUAUAUAUAUAUAUUUAAUGGCUCAUACUUAGAUGAUAAUGUACCCAAAGUCUGUGGAUCACUCAAAAUUAGGAAGAUUUUCUGUUUUCUUCUAAGUGAUUUACGUUUUUGACUCAAGGUCAGAUGCUCCAUCUUGAGUUACAUUUUAGAAUUUAUGAGGUGAAGAUCUAAACGAGAGGCGUGGAAGCUUUUCCUGCCAGGGGCCAUUUGGUGUUUAUAGCCUCAUUCGCCGUGUUUGCAAGUCUGCCCAGGAUGCUCCCUUCUCUGGGCCUACUCAUGUCUCCUCUGCAGAUGCGCAAGCCUUCACACCUGCUCAGGGUGAGUAGACAGAAAGCACCUGCUCUUGUCUUUGCUAAAGUAGCACAGGCUCCCCCAUGCACAGAAACUUCUAGAUCACCAGGGAAAUGUGGGAGAUUUUCAGGGUUCGUAUGUCUGCUUGAUUCUGCUGUGUAAACUUGUGGCUAGUGCACUGUGGAUUGGGGAAGUCCUGGGUGGCAGAGCUCUUGCUGGUGCACACAUGUCUGUUGGACUGCCCUGAGUCUACCUGUUGGCAGGGCAGCUGGUCCCCAGAGGCCAACAGUGUGCACCAGGACACGUGCAUCACUCCUCUCCACCUGUGGGCUCCCAGGGACUGUGAGGUUCUUCGUCUGUAAGCCAGAGCCGGCCAGCAGUACAAGAACAUGAAGCCCUGGGGUGCCCUUCCCCAGUGGAGACGGAGCCUGUUCCGGUGGAACAUGGUCUUCACCCCAUGUGCCUGCUGCAGGUCUCCCUGGUCACACCCUUCCCUGGCGUUGCCCCUUUCCCUUCUGCUUGCACCUGGGUUCAUCUCUAACAAAGGACCUGGCCCUGAAGCCUUGUCUAGUUUCAGGGAUGUAACUCCUCCAGGCUCCAUCCUAGCCGGGUGACUGGAGCAGGUCAUCCCAGCCUCUGACCGUGAGUGUCCUCUCCUGUCUACUGGGGACUAAAGGCUGACUCAUAAGGUUGUGAAAGGAGAUGUGACAGGAUGGUGAUGGUGCAACAGGAACCAGUCCAAGGUCAGGGGUUCAACCCGCAGAGGCAGGGAGGCAGCAACCUACCCACGUGACAGGGAAGGUUGGUGACAGUCAAAAAAGGAUGACACCAGAGAGGUUUCCAGAGAGAAAAUUGCAUGCAUCAGCAAAAAAAGAGUCCUCAAGGAAACGCACUAGACCAAAGAUUUAUGCUGCAAUUCUGUAAUUUGUCAGAGAAGUUGUGUCAGUAAUAUCCACCCGGUCGACACUGCCUUCAUGGUUCUUAGUUCCCAGAAUCAGAUCCUAGCUGUAGUGAGGAACUGUGUUUCACUGGGUAUGCAAUGUGCAUUCAUAGCUUAAUGUCAUUCUUCGUGAUGACAUGGCAUGUGGGCCUUUUUAUUUGAUUGUAGUUCAAGUCACUCCUUCAGUACAGUGAGUGAUUUCUGGAACCUGUCAGCCCGUCUGACUCCAGGGAGCACCCCGUCCACAUAUAAGAGUGGACAGGGGAGCCACCGGGCAGGGACCACUGCUGGUCAUGCUCACUGAGGAAACCACAACCGUGGGCACACAGCAGGGGCAGUGAAUGUUUGCUCAAAGAAUGAGUACAUGAAUGAAUGAAUGAACAGGAGAAGCAGCCUUGGGGUGGGUCAUACUGGGCACAGGGUAGGACCCCUAUCUGUCCCUCCCACACCGAGCCCCUUCUCGUGGGAGGGCUGUCCCUCCCUGCACCUGUUCCACUCCCCUCCAAUCACGCGGAGCAUUCCUGGGCCAGGCAGAAGGAGGGGACACCUGCUGCCAAGUGGCCCUUCAUGGGCAAAGGGCACAGGGCACAAUCCCCACAAGUCUCUUCUCGGGGAAUUCUGUCCACACCUUAUCGGGAAGGCCUGGCUGUUUCCCAUUUCACUCUUGGGGAAACGGAGGCCCAGUUGUCAGGGACGGCAACUAGAAAGAUGGUGGACAGGACACCUGUUUCUGUGACUCUGCACCCUGAGCUCCAUCCUGUCCACUGAGCCAGCUGUGGUCUCCAUGGGGAGAUUCCUGGCCUCCUGCAGCCUUUGUGGAAGUCAAGGUUGGUGUCACCGCAUCCUGGGCUGCCCGUGUGCUUCCUGUACUGGCCCUCUGCUCUCGCGGUCACAGGUACGUGGCUUCUCUCUGGCACCAGGACCAGGGAACUGCAGGGCCUGGAGGUCCCUCCCCAGACAACUGAGCGUAGCCUCCUUUUGAGGGGGAGUCCCAGGGCUUCUGGCAGCUUCUGGUCUGAAUCCUGAAUCUGUUGCUGAGCACACUGCAGAGAGUGAGACCUCUGGCCUCAGUGGCCUGAUCAGCGCAGUGGGACCUCCCCCACCCAUGCUGGGGGGAAGGACAGACCCACGUAAGGUCAGAGGCCUGUAGGGGCUCAGCCCCUUCCGCUGGUCAUGCUCAGAUCGCCCCACAGCAGCCUGGGGCUCACAUCUCUCUGGCUUGUGCCCACCCUGUCCCUUGGGCCGGGCCGGCCCACCUCUCUUAGACCCCACAGUUUCUCUAGAAAUCAGGCUGCAACCCUAGUCAUGCUGAGAUGACUUGCAGCUCGGCUUCCUGGGGGGUGGGCUGUAGCCAUCGGACCCCCAGGAUCUGCAACUUGAGAUGAUCAUGAGCUCCUGACCUUGUGUUCUGAACAUUGACUGACCUGAACGGUUUCCCCUAUACUCUAGGUGUCCACUGACAUGCAAACUGUAGCUGGGGCCAGUGCUGGGUGCACAGUUGCCUGGGGCUCCUCCCUCCCAAGGCAGCCAAACUAAGCUACUGUGGGCUCCCCUGCUCAGGCUCUUCCACCCCCCCCACUCCCUCCAGGUGGACUGCACUGGGGCUCCAGGCUGACAGGUGCCCAGGGUGGGUCUGGUGGUGAUCUGGGCAUUUUCCGGAUGGGGGCUCUCCUGUGGAUGGUGACGUCUCUGGGUCUGAUCCAGGCCAUUCCCAGGAACACACCUGUCAGCUUCCCAGUGCCCCGGCUUCCUCCUCACAGCCCAGCCCCAGCCUAGUGGGCCAGCUGAGAAGCCCAUUAAGAAAAUGCCUGGGGCUGUAGCCUCUCAGAGAAGCUCACACCCUUCCUGCCCCUCCUGCCAUGCUGUGGUGCACUCUCGCCUCCGUGUUUGCCCUUAGGGUCAUGGCCCCCCUCCGACCCCAAAGUUGGGGCUCAGCAUGAGGAGGGGAGGCCACACCUUGGCCCCACCACAGCUGAGACCUGGGCAGGGGCUUCCCUCUCAGAGCUGUUCCCCAUCUACAAACCCAGGGUGACAGCAGUGGCUUUCCCAUGGGUGACACGUGGUGCCCAGGGCCUGGCCUGGGCCCUGCACAUCCCAGGAGGUCAGAGACGGGACUGGUCACUGUCGUUGGGGUUGUCCAGGAUCCACCUGCACAGCGGGCUGUCUGGGGUCACGUGGGGGUCAUGGACCCAGCCCACUUCCUGUCCUGUGCUGUGGACAUCAGGGCUCCCACAGCUGGGCGAAUCCCUGCUGUGCUUCUGCCAGCCCCCCUGCUGAGCACGGGAACAGGGACUGUGCUGGCUCUUGUGUGCAUGGCCCCGACCCGAGGCUCUGCCCUCAGUGGGAGAAAGCCCCACCCCCGCUUCCUUGUUCCCACUAUGCACUCCUCAUCCCGGGAGCUGGGGGCUCCCAGUGUGUGCAGGGAGGGGCAGGCCGUCCCAUUCCCUGUCCCUGUGAUGUCUGGGGGCGGGGCUCCAUCCCAUUUCACAGAUGGGGACACUGAGGCUGCAUGGGCAGUCCCAUUGCAGGUCAGUUCCAUCUGACCCCAGAGCCCACCUCCCUGUCCAUGAGGAGGCGCUGCCCCAACCAUGACAGUGUCUCCCUGCUGGUUGUCUUCCUCGGCCUUCCCAGCAGUCACUGCUCCCUGUCCAAGACAGACAGCAGUGUCUGUGCCCUGGGAGGUGUCAGUGUCCCUUUCAGAGGAUCUAAGAUGUAGACGUUGGCCCCAUUCUGCAGCGAAGCCGGGUUGGGAGAUCAGCCUGGGGAGCUCACACUGUGCCGAAUUGUGCACUUCACACUGGGCAGCAAACUACAUUUUAUUAAUGAAUAUGGCAAACAAGGCAGAGAAAAUGAGAAUUAUCGAAGAACAUAAAAAAUCAUGAGACAGGCGAGGGACCUGUCUGGCACCAGGGAUGGUGAAGGGGGCGUGUCCAGGGGCGGGGCCUGUGGGUGGGUCCAGAGCUGGGUCUACUGACUGCAACUUCAUUGGCUGCAGCUCGGGUCAGUUUAUCUCCAGCUCAGUUUCCUCACAAAUGCAUGGCCAAGGUACCUCCAUCCCUGCAUCCAGUGCUGUCAGCAUUGCUGUCCCCUGGUCAGUAGCCCGCGUCACGGCGGUCCCCAGCACGUCCCCGUCCAGGGAGCUAAUACAGCUCCAGCGUGGCUGUUGCUGGAAACUCAGGGCUCAGCCCCAGGCCAGCGGCAAGGUCUGGGGUUGGGAAUGCCCUGACCUUGCUUCCACUGUGGCACAAGCAGAGCCAUUUUGCCCCAUGCCCCACAUAGGGGACGGGCAUCUGCAACCACCCCAGCUCUACUUCUGCUACCAAGGCAGCAGGCCUCCGUGGGCUCUCAGGUGGGUAACAGGCUCCAGAACGAACCUGGCUUAGGCGCAGGGCCUGGGCAGGGCUCUCUGCUGCUUCAACACUCAAAUUUCAGGGUUGGCGGCCAGUGCUUGUCCAGGGUGGAUUCACUGACAAUCCCUACGCUGCUGUGCUCCUCCUGGUACUGGGCUGACUCAUCUUGAACCUUGUGGAUACAUACAGGGUCCCUUUGAACUUGUCCCACCCAUCAGGCUCUGGGCUCAGAAUCCCAACAGACCCUUAACCCUGGUCCCUUCCCUUGCCCAGGGUGCAAUGGCCCCUCAUUCUCCCCACACACCAAGGGGCUAGUGGGCUGCCCAGUAGGGCCAGAGGCUUGCUUGGCUUACAGGGACCUGACCUGGCUGCCCUGGAUAACCUGGCCACCUUCUAGGAAAGCACCAAGCAGCGUGAUGGCUGGGGGCUGACCCAGCAUCUGUACCACUGGACAAGGUGCCCAGAUCCUGGUUUGCUGGAGCCUGCAGCUCAGCAUUGUUGGAGACUACAGGAGAAUAUCUUCCAUUGAAGAUCUCAACCUAAUGUGCUGGCUCUGACCAGCUUUGAAAUGUGGGUGCUAGUUGCCAGAAUACCCAGUUUUGAUAGGUGGUCACCAAAGACAAGGUUAGCAAACACUUCUUCCGAAGAUCUGAUAGCUGCUAACCAUGUCCCACAAACCCCACGCUUUGUCCCCACUGUCCACAGUUGCACCAGCAUAACACACAUCUGCCCCAGUGCAGGGCUGGGGGCAGCCAGUGCCACAGCUGGGAGGAGACAGAGCUGGGCUCAGACCUGCACCCUCCUCCUUGGCACAAGUGUGACCACACACAGGCCACUGUCCCUCUCAGCACAUCCCAGCCUCCCAUCUGGUCCCUGGAUCAUUUGCCAGUAAGGCUGGCGCCCUCCCCUGUCCUGAGGUGGAAGCUGAGGAGCGGGAGCCCCCAUCACACCCUGGGACAGGGAGCCCCUGCUCUCUACAUUGCGCAAGGUGAGCCACCACCCGCCCCGAGGGCCAGCUGCACCCACCCGCACCUGGAGAGUGAUUCCACUUAGAGCCCAAAGCUGAGAUGAGCUGCCAGGCUCAGGGGCUUGUGUGCAUCUGGGGCUGUCUGCUCUGUGUGGCUGAUGGUGGCUGACACUGAAUGCCCGUGUCACAGCUCUGAUGUGCACUCCGGAGGAAGCCCUGGGGUGGCCCUGGUGGCGUGCAGGAUCCAGGGCUGGACCAGUGCGGAGUGUCUGCAGAGCCACCACCUGCCUCCCGGGGAGCUGGGGACAGGGCUGUGCUCUCUGAGGUCAGUGAGCAGCCUGGAGUCUCCUCAUCAGGGCGGUGACUCUUUCACCCCCUGCCUGUGUUGAUUGUUCCCUAGACUCCUGGUGCCGCACGUAUUCUGUGGCACCACUGACUGAGCCCCCCAUGCCAUUGGUCACGUCAUUCAGCCUUUGCUACGAUGGUGGUGACAUGCAGAGUGACCAAGGGACAGGACUCCACCCAUGAGUCUUGGGGCACUCCGGGCCUCCCACUGUCUGCUUGUCCUGCCCUGUGUCCCAGUGGGCUGACCCCUGUGGAGUCUGCAGCUCUGUUCCUUCUAGGGACUGCCUGGCUUCAGGGGGAGGGGCUGGGGCUGGGGUGAUGGUAGGCAGUAAGGUGGGGUCACCCAUGGGAGAAGAGGUAGGCCAGGAGGUGGGGUCAACUACAGACACCUGAGAGCUGAGCAGGGAACACUCCCCCCCCUCCUCAAAUAGCUCCGUGGCCUGGGGCAUUGCGCUGCCUGACUGCUCUCUUGGUUCUUUUUUGUCUUUGUGAAUAAAACAGCCUUCCCUCUGGAGCCUGCCCCAGCAGUGCUGUGGGUGAGCAGCCUCCCAGUGCCCUCCAGCUGUCAGUCAGAGCAGCUGCCAAGGGAGGGGCACAGAGCCUCACUGUGCACAGAGGGAAGGCCAGAGCAGGCAGCAGGAGAGCCUGCAGGAGCCAUCUGAGCAAAGAACUGAACACAGGGACUCGAGUCCCGUCCCCGCGUGUGCCCAGCAGCACUGCUCAGCACGGCAGGAGGGGCCCAGCCCUGACGCCCCCAGCAGAGGAAGAGGCAGGCGCCAGCAGGUGACAGGGUGACUUCAGACGGCAGGAGGACAAGGGAAGGAGAGCAAUGCUGCUUGGAGUCUGGCUCUGCCCACACCUGGACAUGUGGCACUGGGAAGUCCUGAGCCCCAGACCGAAAUGCCAGGCAGCAGGGAGACCAAGGAAACCUGAGCGUGGAGGCUGGCUGGAACAUUUGCCCCCGCCUUCAUUCAGAGCCCAGCAGAGUGGACGCCUUGUUGGGGAAGAAGGGUGUGCUCACUCGGCCACAGCUGACCUUCCUCAUGCCUGACCUGGGAGGGAGGACCCUGUGGAUACCUCAGGCCCUAAGCAAACACAGUGGGAUUCGUUCCACUGCAGAGAGCUGCAGGUGUUGAGGACACGGGGUACCCAGAGUGUGGCUGAAAUGCAGUGAAUGUCACAGGAACCAGAACCUUCCUGGAGCCCACCUGGCCUGUGUCCUCCUGAGCUAGUUGCCAUCUGAUGCCGUGGACCUGGCCUCGCAGGAAGGGCACUGUCCAGGAAGAUCCUAGGAGGACUGAGGAAGUGACAUCCCUGCGGUGUCACGGACGGGAGCAGUGUGCGCCUGUUGGGGCACCUCCUGGAAGCUGAGGCCCAGCCAGCUCAGAGCUGGGUCUGCUGUCCUGCUGACAAGGACGUUAGGCUGUGACCAGGACAAGGCCCCUGAGGAGGGCAGACGUCCUAAUCUCUGUUUACUGUAACCCCCGUUCCAGUUCCCCAAAGGUACUGGCAUGUCUGGGUGGUCAUUCAAAUCUCUGUUCUCCAUAGGUGUUGACCUGUCUGCGCAGGUAUCCUCAUCUCAGUUUUCUGUAAACCUGCCCCCCCCAUCUCAAGUUCCCUGUACGUGUGGUCUCAGGUUCCUCUCGGGUGGUCCUGAGUCCCGCAGGCUGCAGCUAAGCCCACUAUGCUAUAACUGGGAAGGCAUGAUGCUGAUGAACCUGUACAUGUUGUAAGACACCUGGAUCGGAUGCCCAGCCUUGGGAGGUGAUUCCACUGGGCCUGUCAGUGUUAAUAAACUGCUUCUGCUGAUCCUCCACCCAGCCUCUCGUGCCUGUUUGAAUUAAGGGGAUUUCUCCAAUCCAGCUUUCUAUACACUGCAGCUCCGCCCACUGUGCGCCUCCAGGCAGCUGCUCCCUGGGAGGCUGGAGAUGGAGG